AUUGAACGCUGGCGGCAGGCCUAACACAUGCAAGUCGAGCGAGCGGCGGACGGGGGUGUAAUGUAUGGGGACUGUCCGUGAGAGGGGGAUAUCUACUGUAAACGGUAUCUAAUAUCCCAUACUCUCGGGUAACCCCUAUGGGAUUAGCUAGUAGGUGAGGUAAUGGCUCCCCUAGGCGACGAUCCCUAGCUGGUCUGAGAGGAUGAUCCGCCACACUGGGACUGAGACACGGCCCAGACUCCUACGGAGGCAGCAGUGGGGAAUAUUGCACAAUGGGCGCAAGCCUGAUGCAGUCAUGCCGCGUGUAUGAAGAAGGCCCUAGGGUUGUAAAGUACUUUCAGUCGGGAGGCGUUACCGACAGAAGAAGCACCGGCUAACUCCGUGCCAGCCGCCGCGGUAAUAC
rnacentral:rRNA from 1 species